CAACAAAUCUUUGGAAUUUCCCUGAAAGGCUUGACAAAUUUCUUGAGAUUACAAAAUCCUCCAUUUAAUGCACAGCUAUAUGAGUAUGUCAUCACUGAACAGAUAUAUACUAACUAUUAUAGUACUUCAGGAGUAUUCAGGUCAGGUAUGAAGGUACUCAAUGAGAUCUGUUUACCCACUUGUGUAACACACUCCUUGCUUGGCCAACAUUGCUACAUUUUGGUUUGGGUAUAUACCUGGGUAGGUGUAACCUGGGGUAUCACUGUACUAUCCUAGUAAAUUCAAGGGAAUUAUAGGAGCAUUUUGAAUUUCUUGAUUCUCCAGAUUUUGUGUGUCUCUGUCAUUAGAGCUGUGGAGUAAUGGAGGAAAUCAAAAAGGCAGUCCAGAGGGUUCUUCCAAAUCUUCCACAACCUCUAAAGGAAGCAUGUGAACACCUUAUCAAAAUAGGUGUUGAAACAGAAGAUGACCUAAAAUAUGUUCAGCACUUUGAUCUCCCCAUGCUUAAGGAAAUUAAAGUGCGAAAGCUUAUUAGUAACUGGAAAAAAGUUUCAGAGACUGCAGCACCAUCUCAAACAUCACGAGAGACUGCUUCGUCGGACCAAGAUAUAGUAGCUGAAACAGUUGCUCCACCUUCAACCUCUGAGCAUAACAGAGAAACAUCAAAGUUGUUACAGUUAGGUGUAAAUAGUGUUUGGGCUGAUGAGUAUGAAAUUCCAUGGUCAAGAUUUACCCAAAUAAAUCUAAUAACAUGCUUACAAAAUGGGUCGAGACCUCUUCCAUCAGCAAGAAGAGAGAUGGUGAGAAAUCUAGUUGAUGAAAUUUGCAAGAUUUCCCAGAAGCCUGGCAAAAAGGCACUAGCAACAAUUGCACAAAAGAUUGUGAAGAAAUAUCCCAAAUCUUUCCUGGAUGAAAUUGAGAGGGGACUCGUGUUGGUACUGGAUAUGAUUCCCUUCUGAAACAAUUGCAGUCAAGGUUUGACAAUAUAAAUAGAAAUUCUAAUAAUAACUCAUUGAAAAGGAAGAAAUCUCUUGUAACAGAAAAGGGGGAUGUGGAAGCUGGACCAACCCUUAAAAUAUAUUUACGAGAUAGAUAUGGCUGCAUAAAUUAUAUGCCAAGUGAUUACCCAGAUGGGGAAUCAGAAAUAACUCAAGAAAAUAGGCAAGGUUUACUUAAGCGGAAAUACAAGCAAAAACGUAGUGACAAAGUGGAGGAUUUCAUAAAGGACACUUACUUUUCUCAAAGAAAAGAUAUUGUAAAAAGGAAAAUGAAUGUUCUUCACUUAACAAAUGAAUGGCCCUAUUUAUUUGAACCAGUAGGGAUGUUUGUUCACUUUAGGGAGCUCACUGGCAUUAAUAUAAAAGAAAAUUUUGAUUCUGCCAUCACAAGUAAGGAAGCACGGAUUCUGAAAUGGAUGGAAGGAGAACCAAGCAAGAAAAUAAGGAGAAUUCAACAGGAACUUGUAAAAGCUAGCUGCUCUGUUGAUAAUAGCAAUGGAGAAAUAGCAGCCAUGAUCUGUGCAGUUGUGGCUUACAGGAAAAAGAAGAAUUUUUGUAUAUAUGUGUCAAGGUUAGUUACUUAAAAGUUACCUUUAUAUUUAUAAUAAGUGAAUACCAAGCUGAACUGAUAAACCACAUAUUCCAGUAAAAUUAUAAGUAGUUUACCUUUAACAAUGAUAUUAAUGGUUUGUUUUGGUAGCUGAGUUCUGGAAAAUGAAAAAUUUAACCCCUUGAUGUGGACUUCAUGUUUAUUUGUUCAUCUGUACCACUGUGUCUUGUCAAGUACCUGUCUGUCUUUUUGCAUAUGUAGUAUUCAUUUUAUGUGUCAAUUGCUAUUUGUUUGUUUGACUUUUCCAUGAGUGAUUUUUUUUAUCUGUUCUCUAAUUUUGAAGAUUUUCUUAUAUGUAUAUUUAUUUUUGCUGUAACAUUUUUCAGCAAAGUGCAUCUAGGCUUGAUUUUGAGAAGAACCUUCCCCAAAUACCAUGUCUAAUAGGGUUUGGGGAAUCAAGGUUUACAGCAACAAGAUAUAUGCUGUCAAUUGGUGGUGGUGUUGUCACCAAGCAUAUUGCCACAUUCACCACUGGCCUAGCGAUGCUGUUGGCCUCCUAUUACAACUUCAAUAUAAUGUAUCCCAUAGAUUCUGCAUCAACACUUGAAUUCAUUCAAAGAUGUUUUGUUGGCAUCAAUCCUGAACGGGGGAGCAAGAUAGAAAUAAAAGAACAUAGCAAAAGGCGCUCUGAAGUUCAUCCGAAGGUCCUGUCCCUGAUUAAUGCUAUUGCUGAUGUAGAUGGGAGGAGCUGAAUCCCACAAGAUGCUGUCAGCCACUGAAGGGGAGGAAACUAAAAAAUGUGAUUUUCAACUGGAUGAAACUUGUCUUCCAUUCUUGUGAUGUACUUAAAUAAUGCUCUUUUAUUUUAAUGAUGUGUCAGUGAUGAUUAUAAUGGUGCUGCUGUAAAGGUGAUAUAUUGGAAUGCAUAAGUUCAUUAUAUUUUUUCAUUCUGAAAUGCUCUUAAAGGCAUAAUGAUAAUUAUAAUGGUGAUGAUGACAAUGGUGUCAAGUUUUCCUCAUGCAAAUGUAAUGAUGAUUAUAAAGGUGGUGGUGAUGUUUUCUCCAUGAUUGGUGAUGCAUUGGUUAAAUACUUCAUGAUUGGUGAUGCAGGGUUAAAUACUUCAUGAUUGGUGAUGCAGGGUUAAAUACCUCAUGAUUGGUGAUGCAUUGGUUAAAUACUGCAUGAUUGG